CAAAUUUUGUAACAAAUCAAUUAGACAUACUAUUUUCCCUCUAAUGUAUUGAUUCUUAAAAUAUAUAUUGUAGAUAUUUUGGAGAUUGUCAUACAUGCAGGUAAAACGUUUGUUUGUAACGAUGACGCAACCCGUAUGCAAGAGGUUGUUGUUCUAGAUAGCAGCUGCGUUGCUGUUAGAUUGAUUCUUAUGAACCAAUUUGUUAGUGAAUAUGAAAACGAGGUUCAACAAAGUGCUAGACAGUACAACACACUAUUGGCUUGUGGGGUGUAUGUUAGGAAAAUGAAUGGUGCGAUUUGUACACAAAUUAAAAUACUUUUCUUAAAAGUGAUAAUAAUGGUCUUCUUAAAAGUAAUAAUAUUAAUUAUGUUUUGUAAUAUUUAUAGCUGAGGUUUUAAUUUAAAUUUCAUGUUCAAUUUCA